rnacentral:rRNA from 1 species
CUACGGAGGGUGCAAGCGUUACUCGGAAUCACUGGGCGUAAAGCGCGCGCAGGCGGCUAUUUAAGUUGGAUGUGAAAGCCUACGGCUCAACCGUAGAACUGCAUCCAAAACUAUUUAGCUAGAGUGUGGGAGAGGAAGAUGGAAUUAGUUGUGUAGGGGUAAAAUCCGUAGAGAUAACUAGGAAUACCAAAAGCGAAGGCAAUCUUCUGGAACACUACUGACGCUGAGGCGCGAAAGCGUGGGGAGCAAACGGGAUUAGAAACCCUUGUAGUCC